UACGUAGGGUGCGAGCGUUGUCCGGAAUUAUUGGGCGUAAAGGGCUCGUAGGCGGUCUGUCGCGUCUGCUGUGAAAACCUGGGGCUUAACCCCGGGCCUGCAGUGGGUACGGGCAGACUAGAGUGUGGUAGGGGGAGACUGGAAUUCCUGGUGUAGCGGUGAAAUGCGCAGAUAUCAGGAGGAACACCGGUGGCGAAGGCGGGUCUCUGGGCCAUAACUGACGCUGAGGAGCGAAAGCGUGGGGAGCGAACAGG
rnacentral:rRNA from 1 species